UGGGCCCCAGCCCGCGCCCCGCGCCCCGGAGAUCCUCGACGCCCCUGCGAACGCGGGGUGGACGCGACGGGCUGGGUCUGUGUCCUGAAGCUUGGCAGAUGAGCGAACUUAGCCAGCACACCCCCGGCCGUGAAGCAGGGAGGUGAAGCGGGGAGAGCAACGAGCCCCACCCGGGUCUUGCCAGCUGGACGUUCUUGUGGGGCAGCGUUGAGCAGCGGUUAGGAGUGCCGUGGACUUUGGAUUCAAACAGCCCCAGCUCUUCUGCUUGCUAGCUGGGUGACUUUGGGCAAAUUAACAUCUCGAAAAUCUGUUUCCUCAUUCCUAAAAUGCGGGUCUGAAAGUGAUCAUGCCUGUAAAGCCAUCUCAUAUCCAUGGUUCUAGAAGCAUGGUGAGCACCUCAAUUUGAAUAAUCAGUGCCAUGCUUUAGCUACCUCUUGACUCACUCGUUUGUGGCAGGAAAUGUUCCCAAAUUAAUCAGAAGAAUUCAGUGACUAAGAGGAUGUAAUAGUAUAUAGCGCAGGCACUGGAAUCAGCUCUGCUGUGUGAUCUUGGACAAGCUGCUUCUGUUCCGUUUCUCUUAUCUGGGGCAAUACCUGUCUGAAUAGAGUGACUGUUGGGACGAAAUAGGUUAGUAAAUAUGUACUGUAAGGCAUUAGAACCUUGCCUGGCACAUAGUAAGUGCUCAAUAAACGCUAGGUCUUGUUACCUUGGCUUCCCGUUUAGGAUUGGAACCCUUGUGAUUAUUCUUUCCCUCCCAGUGAUAGACUUCUGUGCUUACUUCGCACUCCUAGGCGUUCUGUAGGUUUGUAAACCAGUAUUUAUACAGAAAUACUUUCUGUAGAAAGACAGGCAUCAUCAGAUUGUGCAUGUUAAUCCGGGAACAGACCGAAAGGGAAGGUCUCAGAGGAGAGAGGCAUAAAGGGAGAAAACAAAACAAAGUCACAAGCAAAGCAAGAGUAGUUGCUUUUAUUCCUAAAGUGUUCAUUAUAAAAGAAACCAGAGGGCAGGGCACUGUGGCUCCCAGCACUUUGGGAGGCGGGUGGAUCACUUGAGGUCAGUAGUUUGAGACCAGUCUGGCCAACAAGGUGAAACCCUGUCUCUACUAAAAAUACAAAAUCCGCUGGGCGUGGUGGCACACACCUGUAAUCCCUGCUACUCUGGAGGCUGAGGCACGAGAAUUGCUUGAACCUGGGAGGCAGAGGUUGCAGUGAGGCGAGAUCACACCAUUGCACUCCAGCCUGGGCAACAACAGCAAAACUCCGUCUCAAAAGAAAAAAACAAACACAAAUACAGGAGGAAAACAAACAAUAAAAAAGUGAUGAAAUUCAUUUUAUAUAAAUAUAUUGUGAGAAAUAUAUGUAAAUAUGUGCAUGGGAAAAUGCCAAUCCAACCAAGAAAGGCAAAGAAAGUGAUAUGCCAGCUAUGCAUAUGUAACUUAAUAAAAGAAAGGUGAGCCUGGCUUGUCCUUAGAUAAGAGAAUAUCCAAGAGAAAAGGAAAUUAAAAUCCUAGAGGGCUAAAUCCAAAGGAGGACAAUUGCUGGCAUUGACAUACUUCUAGCUGUCCACCUUGAUCAUGAAUUCCAGGAGAAGUUCAGAUCGUUCUUGGACCUGGGUCUGUCUCUUUCACAUUUUCUAUUAUGUGUUGAAGAUUGUUUAGAACUAUAGACUCAGCCAGGCGCGGUGGCUCACACUUGUAAUCCCAGCACUUUGGGAGGCCGAGGCGGGUGGAUCACAAGGUCAGGAGUUCAAGACCAGCCUGGCCAACACAGUGAAACCCUGUCUCUACUAAAAAUAUAAAAAUUAGCUGGACGUGGUGGCAGGCGCCUGUAAUCCGAGCUAAUGG
rnacentral:lncRNA from 1 species